GCUGGGCGUGGUGUCGCAGGCCUGUAGUCCUAGUUACUCAGGAGGCUGAGACAGGAGAAUCGCUUGAACCCAGGAGGCAGAGGUUGCAGUGAGCCAAGAUCGAGCCACUGCACUCUAGCUUGGGUGACAGAGCGAGAUUCCGUCUCAA
ensembl:misc_RNA Metazoa_SRP Metazoan signal recognition particle RNA